rnacentral:lncRNA from 1 species
GUAACAGAUCCUGAGAUUUUGCAUCACUGUAUUGUAACCUUUUCCUCCCCUCUGCAAUUGCUUUUGAACAGCCAGACGUGUCACAGAGGUGCAACGACGUACUCAGAGGCAGGCAUCUAAUUGUCUCCAACCUCGGUGAGAGAUGAGUAGCAGCACUGCUUCUUUCAGGUGGGUCUGAGAGCUGCUGUGGAACUGAAGACCAGGAGUUGCCUACGUUAACCGGAGGACUGAGAUGCUCUGAUCAGCCUGCCUGCUGAGGCAGUGGUUACAGCUCGAGUAGCAUACUGUUCCUUUUUACAUUCCUGGUAGCCAGAGGGUCUUUCACCCUGAUGUGAGAACUGUGUGAAUCAAAAAUAUCGGCAAUGUUCCUCGCUGGCUUACACUCAGCUGAGUGCUAGAGAGCCCUCUUCUGCUGGGUGCUGUACACACACUGUGCAAAAGGAGGAUGUUGCCGUGAAGAGUUUCUAGCCUGAGCAGUGGA